UCGUUGCGUCAGUGCGUGCGGGGUGAUAACGGGCGUGGUUGCAAUAUCGAGGCGCGCAGUGUGAUGACAGGCGGCGCAGGCGAUUUUCGUUCCGAGUGGUUUAGAAGGCCCCCCCCCCCGCCACGCCGCCCCCCUCACGGUGGCUCUAGUUGAAUAAUAUUUAUAGAGAGCAAAUAACGUACGUGUUUAUUUAUGUGCAUAUCCGUACCGUGAAAUAAUGAUUAUGACUGCGAACAACGACGGCGAGGACGUGAUGCAAGAAUCGCAGCUGCAUCGAGGAAGAAGGCUAUAGUCGGGGACGUGUACAAGCAGAAUAAGAUCGGAUUUUUCUCUCCCUCCCCCCCCUCUCCACCCGCCUCUGUCUUCCAUUGUGGUUAGAAUUAAAUUAUCUCGGGAUGGAAUUGACAGAGAUGAGCUCGCCUUUGGUGGCGUUGAAUCAUCAUUCCUCGCCAGCAAAACACAGGCUGGCUCACGAACUCAGCCUGGAUGAGUUUGAGGACGAUGACCUUUCCGAGAUCGCAAAGGACUGUGGGAUGGGAACGCACUACCGUGGCAACUGCUAUCACGCGGUGGCGGACGUCGGCACGGCGGGCAGCUCCAUCCACGCCGAGAUGCUGCAGCUGGACAUGAUCGACGACGUCGCGUCGGCCACCGUCACGUCGGGGACGGCGCCGGCAGACGACGGCGGCGACGGCGGCGACGGCGACGGCCGAACGGCGUCGCCUCCGGCGCCCGCCGGAGGCUCCGGUAGAGACGCUCGACGGGACGCGGCGACGGCGCCGGCGGCCAAGGCGGCGACGGCGGCGGCGGCCAAGGCGGCCAGGGCGGGCGAGCUGCCCUGGGGCCCGGGCGGCGAGGGGGCACGGCCGCCCCCGGCGCGCACGCUCCGGCGGCCCACCUCGCUCGACCUUUUCCCGCGCCACGCCACCUCGCCGCCCCGCGUCACGCAGGACUGCCUUAACAACAAUCCCAUUGUAAAGAAAGACAGCUGGCAGGAGCGGAUCACAAGGGUGGGCACGCCUCCACGCACCGGGCCGCAGACCCCCCCGCGCGACGAGGUGGAGAUCCCCCUGACGCCGCUCAAGAGCGACGGCGCCGCUACGGCUCCGGCGGGCGCGGCGCUCGGCUACUCGAAAUCUUCCUCCUCCUCGUCCUCGUCCUCAUCCUCCUCCUCCUCCUCCUCGUCGUCCUCGUCGUUGUCGUCGUCGGCGCAGGCGACGGCGCUGCCGCCGUCGUCGUCGUCGUUCUCCGCGAUGACGGCGGCGACGAUGGCGACGAUGACGGCGAUGAUGGCGAGCACCAUCGAGGAGGGCGAGGAGAGCGCCGAGCAGGAGUUGGACGACGUCUCCGAGCUGCCCGGCGGGCGGUGCGACGGCCGCGGCUCCCCGGGCCCCCAGCGGAUGUCCGUCAGCUCGGACCACGACGUGCGGCCGGGCGACGAGGCCCCGGCGCAGCAGCCGUCGUCGGCGAGCGAAGCUGCUGCGGUGACGACGGCGGCUGCGGCAAGGAGGAGGAGCCGCCUGCGUCUGCUGUCCGACCUGGAGGUGACGCGCUGCUCCCUGCCGAUGAGGGCGAGCCUGUCGAGCGACGUCGGGGCCUCCGAUUCGGGAACCGCGGGAGCGAGCGUCGGCCACGCGAGAAAACGCGGCGACGGCGGCGGCGGCAAUGAAGGCGGCGGCAAUGAAGGCGGCGGCGGCGGCGACGGCGGCGACGACGGCGGCUACGGCGGCUGCGACGACGGCGACGACGGCGUCGUCGACGACGACGACGACGACGACGUUCUGUUCUUCCCGCCGUCGGCCGUGCAGCGCGUGUCGAUCGACAGCGAGGGCCCACGCUCGUACCACGCCGUCAAGUACACCCUGGUCGUGGACGAGGGCACCCAGCUGGAGCUCGUCGGUGGGGAGUUCCGACGCAGCGAGUCGUGCCCCAGCGACGACGAUGGCGACGACGAGGUGGGCGGCGACGACGAGGACCGCGCGACCUGCGGGAAGGGCGACGACCGCAGCAUCGGGUCGCUGACCCUGUACGACAACCUGAGGUCGCCCUUCGAGCCCGACUCGGCGUUCGACCCCGACUCGAUGUUCGACCCCGACUCGGCCUUCGACCCGGUCGACCUGGACACGACCUUCGACAACGAGGCGGAGCCCGCCUUCGGUCGCCACCUCGACCUCGACCCCGACCUGGAGCUCGAGCUGGACCUCGACCCCGAGGGCCCGCCCUUCGACCCGGCCGUGGGCGAGGAGUACGAGGAGGUGACGCGCGACUCCCUCUGCCUGUCGAGCCACGCCACUCCGGAGCCCGUCGGGGAGGUGGUGACCUUCACGCGCAAGUUCCUCAACGUGGUUCUGAGCGGCACGGCGCGCUCUUGCAGGUCAUUUGGAUUCUUCUCGUGUACCAUCGAUGGAAUUUGGAGAGAACAAACCCACAGAGCCGUGCACAAGUUCCAGCCCAGGCAUGUGGACGAGCUGGAGCUAGAUUCGGACGACCCCGUGUUUGUUGAGGUGCGAUCGGCCGAUGGCUGGCUGACGGGGUACAACAUGCGCACGGGCGAGCGCGGCAUCUUCCCCUCGCUCUACACGCAGAGGGUGCACAAGGAGCCGGAGCUACUGCCUCAUAAGAAGCGGAGGGAUUGGUUUGAGAUCUUUGACCUCCAAUUCCUGGGCUCGGUGGAGGUUCCUCAUCACCAGGGCAACGACGUCCUCUAUGCAGCCAUGCAGAAGGUGGCUUCCAGCCGUCGCGCGGUUGCCGGACUCAAGCCGACGUUGCCGUGCUCGUUGGAGGUGGGCGCGCGAGGGCUCCGCCUCACGGUGACCGGCGCUCGGCAUGCGCCGGCGCCGCAGCGCAACGGCUUCCACAAACACAAGCCGAUCAAGAACUUCAGCCACUUUUUCCAGCUGAAGAAUAUUUCCUUCUGUGGUUUCCACCCCAAAAACCCAUGCUACUUUGGGUUCAUCUGCAAGCACCCGGCGGAAGGCAGGUUCGCGUGCCACGUGCUCGUCUCCACUCAGUCCACCAAGCCCAUCGCAGAGUGCUUCGGGAAAGCUUUUCAGCAGUUUUACCACGACUGUAUGGAUUACAACUGCCCGGUUGAAGAUAUUUUUCUGGAAUGAAGCUACGUAGCGGUGUACUACCUGUGUGCAGUGCACUUAUAUCACCAGUGCACGAAUUUUCUCCUAACGUGAAGAAGCGGCCACUCCUUUACCUCCACGUUCCCCGGGGGGCACUUUUUGUGUUUCGUCCAACAUCGCGUUCGAGCCGGAAGCCAGUUGGUGACCGAGGAGGAGGAGGAGGAUGGGGUAUGAUCGUUGAAGAGUCGUCGUGCGGUUUGAUGUAGAAGGCCUCGUUAAAGAGUCCCUCCCGGCUUGAUGUACAAGGCUCUCGAGGCUGUGCAUAUCGGUGGGUUUCCCUAAAUGCUCCCCAGCUCUUCCAGAUUGCAGAGAGUAUCCGUCUUUUAAUGCUCGUCGGUUAAUUGUCUGUGUGCUUAAAACGAAACAACAACAACAACGCAAAACCACCACAAUUAUUUAAAAAAAAAUAAUUAUGGAACACGCCAUUGAACAUGCCAAAAUAGCUCUUCAAGUGGAUUGUGUUUUUUUUUUAUUUCAAUUCUUUUUUUAAACUAUAUAUAUUUCACCCGUAAGUGAGAAGGAUGAGGAAGAGGAAUUACUUGCUCAGACGUUUUGAACAUACACAAGGAAGCUUGCGUUACAGCUGUAAUUAUUCACUCCGUCCUCGGGGGUUUUCUCAUGGAUCUGGAAGAGCUGCACACACAUUGUAUGCGAACGCUCGUUGCUGUUUAAGUGGUUCAAAUAAAGGCCUUCCUUUCUACACACAA